CUGCGCUUCCAGCGGCCCCGGCGGGCCCUGCCCCGCGCCGGGGGGGCCUUGGCCUUGCUGCGGCCCCGCCUGGCCGGGCCCCGGCGGCGUCUGGGUCUGGCUGGGGAGGGUGAAGUCGGUGAACUCGAACUCGGAGCCCUGAGUGUCGGCGCCGAGCAGCUCGGCCUCCUCGGUGUCCAGGAAGGUGGUUUUGAAAAGAUCUCAAGUGCUGUGAUGCCAAGUGGUCGAUUUUACAAAGGCCUGUAAUGUAAAAAAAGCCCUUUUUUCACCAGCUAAAAACACCUCAGGUGUCAUCCUGGAAAUUGAAGAAUUAUCCUGGAAAUUUAAGAAUUAUUCUGGAAAUUGAAGAAUUAUUCUGGAAAUUGAAGAAUUUCUCGAAGGUGCCAGAAUUGAAGUACAAUGGGAAAUGCAAAUCCAGCCUUGAUUUCAGGGAUAUGAGCAGUGAAGUAGUGAAAACUCAGGAAAAAAAAAGAGCUUUGAUUCCUGGUCAAAGAAUUUUCCUGGGAUAAUUCUGUUUGAACUGAUUCACCUACAGGUUCAGCUGUGGCUGCAUAAAGUGUUCCCAAAACAAGGCAUGGAGAUGUCACUUGGAGCAGUGAAGGAAAAGGAGGAGAAGAUUUUGACAUUUCUCCAGUGAUCUGGAAUGGAAAAUGUCCUUGGAAAUUAAGGUGAUGAGGGACAUUAAAAGAUAACAUCAAUAUAUGAAAGCCAGGAAAUGGAACUCGCUGUUUCACUAAGCACCAAAAAGCCAAUAAACUUCUUAAAACGUAAUUUAA